AGUGAACGUUGGCGGCGUGGAUUAGGCAUGCAAGUCGAGCGAGAACCGUAGCAAUACGGGGACAGCGGCGAAAGGGACAGUAAUGUGUAGGUACCUACCCCGAGGUCUGGGAUAGCUGCGGGAAACUGCAGGUAAUACCGGAUAAUGUCUUCGGACCAAAGGUGUGAUUCCACCUUGGGAGGGGCCUGCAUCCUAUUAGCUAGUUGGCGGGGUAAUGGCCCACCAAGGCAACGAUGGGUAGCGGGUGUGAGAGCACGACCCGCGUCAUUGGGACUGAGAUACUGCCCAGACACCUACGGGUGGCUGCAGGAGAGGAUCUUCGGCAAUGGGCGAAAGCCUGACCGAGCGACGCCGCGUGCGGGAUGAAGGCCUUCGGGUUGUAAACCGCUGUCGUAGAGGAGGAAGUGCAGGGGGGUUCUCCCUUCUGUUUGACCUAUUCUAGGAGGAAGGACGGGCUAAGUUCGUGCCAGCCGCCGCGGUAA
rnacentral:rRNA from 1 species